GAUGAACGCUGGCGGCGUGCCUAAUACAUGCAAGUCGAGCGAACGGACGAGAAGCUUGCUUCUCUGAUGUUAGCGGCGGACGGGUGAGUAACACGUGGAUAACCUACCUAUAAGACUGGGAUAACUUCGGGAAACCGUAGCUAAUACCGGAUAAUAUUUUGAACCGCAUGGUUCAAAAGUGAAAGACGGUCUUGCUGUCACUUAUAGAUGGAUCCGCGCUGCAUUAGCUAGUUGGUAAGGUAACGGCUUACCAAGGCAACGAUGCAUAGCCGACCUGAGAGGGUGAUCGGCCACACUGGAACUGGGACACGGUCCAGACUCCUACGGGAGGCAGCAGUAGGGAAUCUUCCGCAAUGGGCGAAAGCCUGACGGAGCAACGCCGCGUGAGUGAUGAAGGUCUUCGGAUCGUAAAACUCUGUUAUUAGGGAAGAACAUAUGUGUAAGAACUGUGCACAUCUUGACGGUACCUAAUCAGAAAGCCACGGCUAACUACGUG
rnacentral:rRNA from 1 species